GAUGAACGCUGGCGGCGUGCCUAAUACAUGCAAGUCGAGCGAACAGACGAGGAGCUUGCUUCUCUGACGUUAGCGGCGGACGGGUGAGUAACACGUGGAUAACCUACCUAUAAGACUGGGAUAACUUCGGGAAACCGGAGCUAAUACCGGAUGAUAUAUUGAACCGCAUGGUUCAAUAGUGAAAGACGGUCUUGCUGUCACUUAUAGAUGGAUCCGCGCCGCAUUAGCUAGUUGGUAAGGUAACGGCUUACCAAGGCGACGAUGCGUAGCCGACCUGAGAGGGUGAUCGGCCACACUGGAACUGAGACACGGUCCAGACUCCUACGGGAGGCAGCAGUAGGGAAUCUUCCGCAAUGGGCGAAAGCCUGACGGAGCAACGCCGCGUGAGUGAUGAAGGUCUUCGGAUCGUAAAACUCUGUUAUUAGGGAAGAACAAAUGUGUAAGUAACUAUGCACGUCUUGACGGUACCUAAUCAGAAAGCCACGGCUAACUACGUG
rnacentral:rRNA from 1 species